GAUCUCUGGUUCCUCUGCCUUUUCUAAAUCCAACUUGUACAUCUGGAAGUUCUUGGUUCAGGUACUGUUGAAGCCUAGCGUGAAGGAUUUUGAGCGUUACCUUGCUAGCAUAUGAUAUGAGCACAGUUGUGCAGCAGUUUGAGCAUUCUCUGGGGUUGCCUUUCUUAGGGAUUGGAAUGAAAACGGAACUUUUCCAGUCCUGU